UUAAGCGACUAAGCGUACACGGUGGAUGCCCUGGCAGUCAGAGGCGAUGAAGGACGUGCUAAUCUGCGAAAAGCGUCGGUAAGGUGAUAUGAACCGUUAUAACCGGCGAUGUCCGAAUGGGGAAACCCAGUGCAAUUCGUUGCACUAUCGUUAACUGAAUACAUAGGUUAACGAGGCGAACCGGGGGAACUGAAACAUCUAAGUACCCCGAGGAAAAGAAAUCAACCGAGAUUCCCCCAGUAGCGGCGAGCGAACGGGGAGCAGCCCAGAGUCUGAAUCAGCUUGUGUGUUAGUGGAACGGUCUGGAAAGUCCGACGGUACAGGGUGAUAGUCCCGUACACCAAAAUGCACAGGUUGUGAACUCGAAGAGUAGGGCGGGACACGUGGUAUCCUGUCUGAAUAUGGGGGACCAUCCUCCAAGGCUAAAUACUCCUGACUGACCGAUAGUGAACCAGUACCGUGAGGGAAAGGCGAAAAGAACCCCGGCGAGGGGAGUGAAAAAGAACCUGAAACCGUGUACGUACAAGCAGUGGGAGCACCUUCGGGUGUGACUGCGUACCUUUUGUAUAAUGGGUCAGCGACUUAUAUUCUGUAGCAAGGUUAACCGUAUAGGGGAGCCGCAGGGAAACCGAGUCUUAACUGGGCGUUAAGUUGCAGGGUAUAGACCCGAAACCCGGUGAUCUAGCCAUGGGCAGGUUGAAGGUUGGGUAACACUAACUGGAGGACCGAACCGACUAAUGUUGAAAAAUUAGCGGAUGACUUGUGGCUGGGGGUGAAAGGCCAAUCAAACCGGGAGAUAGCUGGUUCUCCCCGAAAGCUAUUUAGGUAGCGCCUCGUGAAUUCAUCUUCGGGGGUAGAGCACUGUUUCGGCUAGGGGGUCAUCCCGACUUACCAACCCGAUGCAAACUACGAAUACCGAAGAAUGUUAUCACGGGAGACACACGGCGGGUGCUAACGUCCGUCGUGAAGAGGGAAACAACCCAGACCGCCAGCUAAGGUCCCAAAGUCAUGGUUAAGUGGGAAACGAUGUGGGAAGGCACAGACAGCCAGGAUGUUGGCUUAGAAGCAGCCAUCAUUUAAAGAAAGCGUAAUAGCUCACUGGUCGAGUCGGCCUGCGCGGAAGAUGUAACGGGGCUAAACCAUGCACCGAAGCUGCGGCAGCGACACUAUGUGUUGUUGGGUAGGGGAGCGUUCUGUAAGCCUGCGAAGGUGGCCUGUGAGGGUUGCUGGAGGUAUCAGAAGUGCGAAUGCUGACAUAAGUAACGAUAAAGCGGGUGAAAAGCCCGCUCGCCGGAAGACCAAGGGUUCCUGUCCAACGUUAAUCGGGGCAGGGUGAGUCGACCCCUAAGGCGAGGCCGAAAGGCGUAGUCGAUGGGAAACAGGUUAAUAUUCCUGUACUUGGUGUUACUGCGAAGGGGGGACGGAGAAGGCUAUGUUAGCCGGGCGACGGUUGUCCCGGUUUAAGCAUGUAGGCUGGUUAUCCAGGCAAAUCCGGAUAAUCAAGGCUGAGGUGUGAUGACGAGGCACUACGGUGCUGAAGUAACAAAUGCCCUGCUUCCAGGAAAAGCCUCUAAGCAUCAGGUAACAUUAAAUCGUACCCCAAACCGACACAGGUGGUCAGGUAGAGAAUACCAAGGCGCUUGAGAGAACUCGGGUGAAGGAACUAGGCAAAAUGGUGCCGUAACUUCGGGAGAAGGCACGCUGGUGUGUAGGUGAAGUCCCUGCGGAUGGAGCUGAGACCAGUCGAAGAUACCAGCUGGCUGCAACUGUUUAUUAAAAACACAGCACUGUGCAAACACGAAAGUGGACGUAUACGGUGUGACGCCUGCCCGGUGCCGGAAGGUUAAUUGAUGGGGUUAUCCGUAAGGAGAAGCUCUUGAUCGAAGCCCCGGUAAACGGCGGCCGUAACUAUAACGGUCCUAAGGUAGCGAAAUUCCUUGUCGGGUAAGUUCCGACCUGCACGAAUGGCGUAAUGAUGGCCAGGCUGUCUCCACCCGAGACUCAGUGAAAUUGAACUCGCUGUGAAGAUGCAGUGUACCCGCGGCAAGACGGAAAGACCCCGUGAACCUUUACUAUAGCUUGACACUGAACAUUGAGCCUUGAUGUGUAGGAUAGGUGGGAGGCUUUGAAGCGUGGACGCCAGUCUGCGUGGAGCCAACCUUGAAAUACCACCCUUUAAUGUUUGAUGUUCUAACGUUGGCCCCUGACCGGGGUUGCGGACAGUGUCUGGUGGGUAGUUUGACUGGGGCGGUCUCCUCCCAAAGCGUAACGGAGGAGCACGAAGGUUAGCUAAUCCUGGUCGGACAUCAGGAGGUUAGUGCAAUGGCAUAAGCUAGCUUGACUGCGAGCGUGACGGCGCGAGCAGGUGCGAAAGCAGGUCAUAGUGAUCCGGUGGUUCUGAAUGGAAGGGCCAUCGCUCAACGGAUAAAAGGUACUCCGGGGAUAACAGGCUGAUACCGCCCAAGAGUUCAUAUCGACGGCGGUGUUUGGCACCUCGAUGUCGGCUCAUCACAUCCUGGGGCUGAAGUAGGUCCCAAGGGUAUGGCUGUUCGCCAUUUAAAGUGGUACGCGAGCUGGGUUUAGAACGUCGUGAGACAGUUCGGUCCCUAUCUGCCGUGGGCGCUGGAGAAUUGAGGGGGGCUGCUCCUAGUACGAGAGGACCGGAGUGGACGCAUCACUGGUGUUCGGGUUGUCAUGCCAAUGGCACUGCCCGGUAGCUAAAUGCGGAAGAGAUAAGUGCUGAAAGCAUCUAAGCACGAAACUUGCCCCGAGAUGAGUUCUCCCUGAGACUUUAAGUCUCCUGAAGGAACGUUAAAGACGAUGACGUUGAUAGGCCGGGUGUGUAAGCGCAGCGAUGCGUUGAGCUAACCGGUACUAAUGAACCGUGAGGCUUAACCUU
rnacentral:rRNA from 1 species